rnacentral:tRNA from 1 species
AGGGGUUUAAGUAUAAUAAAAGCUUCUAACUUUUUUAAGGUGGUUAAAUUCCAUCAACCCCUU